GAUGAACGCUGGCGGCGUGCCUAAUACAUGCAAGUCGAGCGAACAGACGAGGAGCUUGCUCCUCUGACGUUAGCGGCGGACGGGUGAGUAACACGUGGAUAACCUACCUAUAAGACUGGGAUAACUUCGGGAAACCGGAGCUAAUACCGGAUAAUAUAUUGAACCGCAUGGUUCAAUAGUGAAAGACGGUUUUGCUGUCACUUAUAGAUGGAUCCGCGCCGCAUUAGCUAGUUGGUAAGGUAACGGCUUACCAAGGCAACGAUGCGUAGCCGACCUGAGAGGGUGAUCGGCCACACUGGAACUGAGACACGGUCCAGACUCCUACGGGAGGCAGCAGUAGGGAAUCUUCCGCAAAGGGCGAAAGCUUGACGGAGCAACGCCGCGUGAGUGAUGAAGGUCUUCGGAUCGUAAUACUCUGUUAUUAGGGAAGAACAAAUGUGUAAGUAACUAUGCACGUCUUGACGGUACCUAAUCAGAAAGCCACGGCUAACUACGUG
rnacentral:rRNA from 1 species